UGAAUGAACCCUGAAUGAUCAACUGGCAGUACCUACACAACUUAAAGCUUCAUUAGGGGAGUGUGUGAUCACUAAGAUGACUCUUAGGCAUUCAAGAUAUAUAAAAGAUUCCAAUUUACCUCCAAGCAAGUGUUAAGAUGGCAUAACCUAGCCUUGCUGAAAGAUAUUGCAGCUCAUGCCUUCAGGAGAGAGUGCAUCUCCAGAGAUCAACAUAACAUGUUUGAGGAGAGUGACGAAUGGCUUAUCAGCUGUUUCCAACUGCCAAGACAAGUUUUGCUGCAGCUAUGCAAUUCUCUGCAAUGGCAUCUGAGUCAUGAGACACAUCUCUCCACACCAAAUACCUUCUCAGGUUCAAGUCCUGUCAACCAUUGGUUUUCUGGCUACGGGGAAAUUUCAGAAGGAAAUAGCAGAUCGGGCUGGGAUUUCGCAACCUUCUCUAAGCCAUGUCAUCCCAAAGGUUUUAAAUGGCAUCAUAAGGCUAAUGCCCGACCAUAUCAAAUUCCCUUAUGAUGAACAACAUCAGAGUAAUGUGAAGAGGGGGUUCCAUGGCAUUGCUGUACUGCCAAAUGAUAUUAGAGCAAUAAACUGUACCCACGUGUGCAUCAAAGCUCCAUCUAUCAACUCCAUCCAAUUUAUGAACCAGAAAAAAUACCAUUCCAUCAACAUGCAGGUAAUCUGUGAUGCUGAUUGCCACAUACUCAACGUUGUGGCCCACUGGACAGAAGGUACCCAUGACUCUUUCAUUUUACACAACAGCAGAGUGGGAAUGCGUUUGGAGGCAGGAGCUGUGAGAAGCACAUGGCUUGUUGGUGACCACGGAUAUGGCCUGAAAACAUGGCUAAUGACCCCAUUUGCCAAUCCCGUAACCCUUCAAGAUGUGCCCUACAACCAUGUCCCUGCCCGCAUGCAUGCCAUAAUAGAGUGCACCUUUGGGCCGCUCAAGGGCCGUUGGAUGUGUUCAGAUCACCUGGAACAGAGCCGCAACUAGACUGCAAGCUACAUGACGCACAACCAAAUGUGGGACCUCCCAACAGGGCUGCAGUUCAGGGUCGCCAUGACUUAAUGCAAUGGCUCUAAUGAUAAACACGGGUAUGCUGACGAGAUUCCUGGGGCGUGUUUUGGGAAGUGGACUGUGUGGCUGGUGGCUGGGAG